rnacentral:rRNA from 1 species
AUACGGAGGGUGCAAGCGUUAUUCGGAUUUACUGGGCGUAAAGGGCGCGCAGGCGGCCUUAUAAGUCAGAUGUGAAAGCCCGGGGCUCAACCCCGGAAGUGCAUCUGAAACUAUAGGGCUUGAGUAUGGGAGAGGGAAGUGGAAUUCCUGGUGUAGCGGUGAAAUGCGUAGAUAUCAGGAGGAACACCGGUGGCGAAGGCGACUUCCUGGACCAAUACUGACGCUGAGGCGCGAAGGCGUGGGGAGCAAACAGGAUUAGAAACCCUGGUAGUCC